UGCGUAGGCGGACUCAUAAGUCAGUGGUGAAAUCUUGCAGCUUAACUGUAAAACUGCCAUUGAUACUGUUAGUCUUGAAUUUAGUUGAGGUAGGCGGAAUGUAUUGUGUAGCGGUGAAAUGCAUAGAUAUAAUACAGAACACCGAUUGCGAAGGCAGCUUACUAAGCUAUAAUUGACGCUGAUGCACGAAAGCGUGGGGAGCGAACAGGAUUAGAUACCCUGGUAGUC
rnacentral:rRNA from 1 species